AUCACUUCUUGGCCUUUUGGCUAAGAUCAAGUGUAGGAUCAUUGGCAGAUUGACUUGAUAAGACCUGAGAAAUUGUUCCCUUUACUUUCAUUUAAUGCAUCACAUGAUCCAGAUUUUUAUUAAAAGGUGUCAUGAUUUUCAGGAGUUUAGAUUUCAGGUAUUUGUAUUUUGAGAGACCAGA
ensembl:snRNA U2 U2 spliceosomal RNA